CUCCAACAGCCGAGCCCAGGCCGGCCUCUGUCCCAGUGGGGAGGUCAUCAAUCGAGCCAGAGAGAUCCUGGAACGCAAGCAGAGACUUACAAUGCUCUGGUGUCGUCCUCUGAACAUGACAAAUAAAAGGGACGACUUAAGAGAGGAAGAAAAGAGCUGGCUUGACAGUGACGGGUGCGGUGGAGGUGAGCGUGUGAAGGAACAUCAGAAGAAACCCAGGCAAGAAAGCCCUGAGCAGUAAUUUUCAGAACAAUCUGCAUCCUACAUUUUGAAGAUACAACAAACCGAGAUAUGGGAGAAAUGUCAUGAAAAGUGACAACACAACCAAAUCUAAAAAUCUGACAAUAAGAAAAGAAAUCACAAAGCUGUCAGAAAUGAAAAAAAAGGGAACAGGCACAUGCACCCUCUGAAUUAACUUCACGGCUGCGCUGCCACAGUCGAGCAGGCAAACACGCAGCCGUACGAAGAAAAAAAAAAGCUCCUCAGAAGCCAACGAGUAAAGUGUGAGGAACAAAAACACGUCAAUCUGCUUCAUCCAAAAAAGAAUCAGAGCUGCUCCGCCGUGUCCUUUGAGAGAUCGUUUUUUUAACUCUUCCCUGCUCCACGUCGACGUCAUCCGUCAGAAGAUGACAAAUGUGACAUGACAGCUCCGCUCGGGAAGCUGCAGACGGAAAACUACUCACAGCCAGCACAGUCUGCACGAAGGGGAAGUUUCUUGGAAACAGCAUUUUUAAAUAAGCGUGUGUUCUGAAAAUGCGAUAAAGAGGUUAAAUAAAAAGUCUAUUUGGCAUCACAGAGUUAUAAUGUUGAAUUCAAUAA